UUAAUAUCCAUGUUUGUCCUCCUUAGGAUUUUGGUGUUUAUUUUCUGUUUUUGUGUUAAAUAAUCUAACACUAUUAUAGGAUACAUUAUUUGUACAGUUCUGAAAAAUUAUCAAUUGCUGAUAGUGCAGAAUCUCAUAAAUCAGAUUCGCUUUUGGGAUUCUAAAAUUUAUAGAUUAGAAAUCCGGUGAUGCGGGUGAUGUGGGAUAGUUUUGAUCAGCUGUCUGAAAAUUCAGGGGAUUGCAAGGAUUUGUUGUGAGAGCGAUUAAGAAUUACACAGACCAGCUCCUGGACUAUGGCAAAGACACUCCAUGUAAACCAUUGCUAUGAGCUUACAACCUCUAUUUUUUCCCAAUUUUUUUGUUUAUAUCUUAUUCUCUCACUGACCAAAUUCUUAUUGAAUUGGUGAAAUCAUGAUAUCAGAUAUCCUCACACAAACUCUUUUGUUCCUCUCUCAUUUUAUGGGAGAUGUACAUCAGGUGAGCAUGAUAAACCACUAAAAUCACCAUAUACUAAGCUAGCAUCUGACUUUGCAAUUUAGUUAUUGUAAUGGCUCUUUUGCGUGGUGAAUCGGCACCCUCUACAUGUGGGAUUUACCUCUGACAAAGGAGGCAAUUUAAUUAACAUUCACUGGUAUAGAAGGAAGCAAAAUCUUCACCAUGUUUGGGAUGUCAACAUAAUUGAAACAGCCAAAGAAAGAUUUUAUGACUCAGACAUAAAUAGCUUCACCAAAGCCAUUCAAGAGAAUAUAACGAAAACAUGGUCUGAUCAAGUACGCGGAUGGGAAACCUGCAAUUCUAAGGAAACUACUUGCCCAGAUAUGUAUGCCUUUAGAUCUAUCCCAAAGCUACACU